UACAGUUACUGUUGGAAGUUACAUCAAUCCUAUAAUGCGAAAAACAAACAAGUACUUAUGUCAGAGUUCCCAAGUCUUCCUAAAGCCUCCGGCAGAUGUAUGGUUGAAUUCCACUAAGCUUGCUUGAUGCUGUUUUUAAGCUGAUAGGUACUCGAAUUGUAAGCAGCGGAUAUAUACUCGAAUUUGUAAGCAGUGCAACAGAUAUGUACUCAGAUUUGUAAGCAGUGCGGCAUAUAUGUACUCAAAUUUGUUAGAAGAUAUGUGAUCGAAUUUGUGAGCAGUGUGCCAGAUAUGUACUCAAAUUUGUAAGCAGUGUAGACACACACGUUUGGUAGCAAGGGGUAUUAUGGUCAUUUCUAUGUUUUAAUUAAUUUUGGACCUCCGGAUAAAAAAAAAUUCGGUUGGACCAUACUAUAAAUAACUAUAUGGGCCUAUGGCCAAACAAGAAAUUUUCCUUAUAUAUUUUACCUUUAUCGUA